AGAGUUUGAUCCUGGCUCAGGAUGAACGCUGGCGGCGUGCUUAACACAUGCAAGUCGAACGGACUCAUACUGAAACCUAGUGAUUUAUGAGUUAGUGGCGGACGGGUGAGUAACGCGUGGAAAACCUGCCGUAUACCGGGGGAUAACACUUAGAAAUAGGUGCUAAUACCGCAUAAGCGCACAGCUUCGCAUGAGGCAGUGUGAAAAACUCCGGUGGUAUACGAUGGUUCCGCGUCUGAUUAGCUAGUUGGCGGGGUAACGGCCCACCAAGGCAGCGAUCAGUAGCCGGCCUGAGAGGGUGAACGGCCACAUUGGGACUGAGACACGGCCCAAACUCCUACGGGAGGCAGCAGUGGGGAAUAUUGCACAAUGGGGGAAACCCUGAUGCAGCGACGCCGCGUGAGUGAAGAAGUAUUUCGGUACGUAAAGCUCUAUCAGCAGGGAAGAAAAUGACGGUACCUGACUAAGAAGCCCCGGCUAACUACGUGCCAGCAGCCGCGGUAAUACGUAGGGGGCAAGCGUUAUCCGGAUUUACUGGGUGUAAAGGGAGCGUAGACGGCAGCGCAAGUCUGGAGUGAAAUGCCGGGGCCCAACCCCGGAACUGCUUUGGAAACUGUGCAGCUUGAGUGCAGGAGAGGUAAGCGGAAUUCCUAGUGUAGCGGUGAAAUGCGUAGAUAUUAGGAGGAACACCAGUGGCGAAGGCGGCUUACUGGACUGUAACUGACGUUGAGGCUCGAAAGCGUGGGGAGCAAACAGGAUUAGAUACCCUGGUAGUCCACGCCGUAAACGAUGAUUACUAGGUGUCGGGGGACCAAGGUGCUCCGGUGCCGGCGCAAACGCAUUAAGUAAUCCACCUGGGGAGUACGUUCGCAAGAAUGAAACUCAAAGGAAUUGACGG
rnacentral:rRNA from 1 species